rnacentral:tRNA from 1 species
UCAGUGACCGAGUGGCUAUGGGGCUAGACUAUUACUCAAAGGAUCAGUGGUUCGAGCCCACCUAAUGAG